rnacentral:rRNA from 1 species
AUUCCGGUUGAUCCUGCCGGAGGCCAUUGCUAUCGGAGUCCGAUUUAGCCAUGCUAGUUGCACGAGUUUAGACUCGUAGCAUAUAGCUCAGUAACACGUGGCCAAACUACCCUACAGACCGCGAUAACCUCGGGAAACUGAGGCCAAUAGCGGAUAUAACUCUCAGACUGGAGUGUCGAGAGUUAGAAACGUUCCGGCGCUGUAGGAUGUGGCUGCGGCCGAUUAGGUAGAUGGUGGGGUAACGGCCCACCAUGCCGAUAAUCGGUACAGGUUGUGAGAGCAAGAGCCUGGAGACGGUAUCUGAGACAAGA